AGAGUUUGAUCAUGGCUCAGGAUGAACGCUAGCGGCAGGCCUAACACAUGCAAGUCGAGGGGCAGCAGGGGUAGCAAUACCCGCUGGCGACCGGCGCACGGGUGCGUAACGCGUAUGCAACCUGCCCUGCACCGGGGGAUAGCCCGCCGAAAGGCGGAUUAAUACCCCAUGUACCCGGUUGUCCGCAUGGGCAAGCGGGUAAAGCCGAGGCGGUGCGGGAUGGGCAUGCGUGCCAUUAGCUGGCUGGUGGGGUAACGGCCCACCAGGGCUACGAUGGCUAGGGGGUCUGAGAGGAUGGUCCCCCACACUGGUACUGAGACACGGACCAGACUCCUACGGGAGGCAGCAGUGAGGGGUAUUGGUCAAUGGGCGGAAGCCUGAACCAGCCAUGCCGCGUGCGGGAGGAAGGCCCUACGGGUUGUAAACCGCUUUUCCGGGGGAAGAAUAUGCCCGACGAGUCGGGCGAUGCCGGUACCCCGGGAAUAAGGAUCGGCUAACUCCGUGCCAGCAGCCGCGGUAAUACGGAGGAUCCGAGCGUUAUCCGGAUUUACUGGGUUUAAAGGGUGCGUAGGCGGCCCGGGCAAGUCAGCGGUGAAAUGAGGCGGCUCAACCGUUUCGUUGCCGUUGAUACUGCGGGGCUUGGAUACGGUCGGGGCGGGUGGAAUUCGUGGUGUAGCGGUGAAAUGCAUAGAUAUCACGAGGAACGCCGGUAGCGAAGGCAGCUCGCCGGGCCGAGAUCGACGCUGAGGCACGAAAGCGUGGGGAUCAAACAGGAUUAGAUACCCUGGUAGUCCACGCCGUAAACGAUGAUGGCUGGGUUUUCGUCCGUAAGGGCGAGGGCCUGAGGGAAACCAUUAAGCCAUCCACCUGGGGAGUACGGCCGCAAGGCUGAAACUCAAAGGAAUUGACGG
rnacentral:rRNA from 1 species